ACGCGGAGUCUCACAGGCGUCGCGUGUUUUACAAAUUCUCAGAAUUGGUCACUUCCCCCCGCCUGCCGCGACCCCGCUUCUCAGUAGCCUCUGUUUUAGUGCUAAAACGAUCGGGGAACGAGGCGGACUUGUCGUCGGUUGUAAAACACUGCAAAAUGGCGGAAAAUCAGAGGAAACGUAAAUUGUCUGCCACAAAUUCACAAACAAGACAAGUCCUGCGGUUAAACAGUCCAUCGUUUGAAGAGGAGUUCAAUGCCCUCAUGCUAGCUUCAGACCAAUCAGACAGCGAAGGAGAGUCGGACCAUUCGAGAAGACAGUAAUGAGGAAGGUCAAAUCACUUGUGAAGAAGUUAGCAGCGACAGUUCUGAAGAC